AUUGAACGCUGGCGGCAGGCCUAACACAUGCAAGUCGAACGAGUGGCGGACGGGUGAGUAAUGUCUGGGAAACUGCCUGAUGGAGGGGGAUAACUACUGGAAACGGUAGCUAAUACCGCAUACCAUCAGAUGUGCCCAGAUGGGAUUAGCGAGUUGGUGGGGUAACGGCUCACCAAGGCGACGAUCCCUAGCUGGUCUGAGAGGAUGACCAGCAACACGGAAACUGGGACACGGUCCAGACUCUGACGGGAGGCAGCAGGGGGGAAUAUGGAACAAGGGGCGCAAGCCUGAUGCAGCCAGGCCGCGUGUAUGAAGAAGGCCUUCGGGUUGUAAAGUACUUUCAGCAGGGAGGCGUUACCCGCAGAAGAAGCACCGGCAAACUCCGUGCCAGCAGCCGCGGUAAUG
rnacentral:rRNA from 1 species